GCUCAUAAGUCAGAUAGAAAAAAAAAAAACUAUAAAGAGGAAUGUGGACUGCCAAAAUACAGACAGCACAUCACAUGUCCCACCAGAGACAGUAAUAUAUUGGAUCACUGUUACACAGCAAUAAAAGAUGCAUAUCACUCUGUCCCAUGGGCCACUUUAGGACUCUCUGAUCACUGUUUGGUUCAUCUUAUACUGACCUACAGGCAGAAACUAAAAUCAGCUAAACCUAUUUUAAGGAGUGUUAAAAGAUGGACUAAUGAAGCAGACCGGGAUUUACACUGUUUCCACCUCACUGAUUGGAGUGUUUUUGAAGCUGCUGCCACUGAUCUGGACGAGCUCACAGAGACUGUAACAUCAUAUAUCAGUUUCUGUGAAGAUACGUGCAUUCCUACCAGGACUCAUUUAACCUACAACAACGACAAACCAUGGUUCACUGCAAAACUCAGACAGCUCCAUCAGGCCAAAGAAGAAUCUUACUGGAAGCGGGACAAUGUCUUGUAUAAACAGGCUAAAUACACACUGGAAAAUGAGAUCAGAGUGGCAAAGAGGAAUUAUUCUGAAAAAAUAAGGAUUCAAUUCUCUUCCAGUGACACAGCAUCAGUGUGGAAAGGUCUGAAAGAGAUCACCAACUUUAAGACACCAUCCCCCAGCACUGUGGAGAAUCAACAACUGGCAGACGAUCUGAAUGAGUUCUACUGCAGGUUUGAAAAAACACCCCACACCCGCUCUGAACACCUCUCCACACAACCAUUAACACCUCCAGCAACCUCCCACUCCCCCACACCUGCAAUUCAGAUCAGCAAAGACUGAAGGUGCGCCAGGUGUCCAACAAAAUUCUGUGCUGACCAGCUGGCCCCCAUCUUCACACAGAUCUUCAACAGAUCACUGGAGCUGUGCAAAGUCCCUUCAUGCUUCAAAUGCUGCACCAUCAUCCCCAUCCCAAAGAAAUCCUAAAUUACAGGACUAAAUGACUACAGGCCUGUGGCCCUAACGUCUGUGGUCAUGAAGUCUUAAAAACUAAAAAACUGGUGCUGGCCCACCUAAAGGACAUUACUGGACCCU
ensembl:lncRNA